UCGGGGGUGGUGUAAUCGGCAACACAGGUGGUUCUGGUCCAUCUAUUGGGGGUUCGAGUCCUCCCCCCCGAG
rnacentral:tRNA from 5 species